UUCUACCACCACCUACUCCCAUUACACUUGACCUUGACUAAGAUUUCCCCACUUAGAACUAAUGACUGUUUACUGUAUGUUUUUAACACCCAGUUUGCAGGGCUCAAUUUUGCACUUUUGAACUUGCGGUUGUACAACCUCUCUGACAUCAAACUGCUGCACCUAUAUCAACUUCCAUGUUGAGUCUCACAUCAUCUAUCCUUACAUACAAAGUCUUUACGUCUACUGCAAACAGUUCAGUUCCUUUUACUUUACCCAACUCAUAGUCAGUGGUGAAAACGGCUGAGGUCUCUUUAUCAGAGUUUUCACUCAUUUGAGAUGUAAUGCUCCAAACUCUGGCACUUGAGUGCGAUGCAAUGCUCCUGUGUUGAAAUGACGUUUUUGUCCCCUCUCUCGCUGGUGUGCGUUGCCCUGAUCAUCGUUGCUCCACUCGUCUUCCUGCAGUCACAGUAAGGAGGCCCCUCUCUCUUCUCAGUAGCAUCCGGGUGCUUAUUCAAUUUCACUUGCCUCGUUUAAUUGUUUCCCACUUGACGCGAGCGGCAAGUCAUGGCUACGUGUCCUUUCUUCUUGCACGUAGCGCCACUCAUCUGGCUUGUGCCUUUUCCCACACAAUGGUAACAUGGUUUACAGGUUGCCUCCGUUUUCUUGGCAACGCUUUUCUCCUCAACUGCAUUUGCUUUGAAAGUAUUUUGUAAAGACUGCAGUGUGCUUUUCCUUGUUACUUCAAAAGAAAAUCCCAUAUCCACAGCCAGUGCUAAUGUUAAAUCUUGUGUGAGCUACAUUCAGGUAAACGGUCUCUCAGCUCUGCACUUUUAACACCACACAGAUAUCACGUACUGACAGACUGAAUUUUCUUAAACUAGCCAAAUACUCACUAAUCGACUCUCCCUCGAGUUGACUCCUUGCAUGAUACUUACAUCUUUCAGCAAUACAAUUUGUCAUCGGUAUGUAGUGACCUUUCAACAGCGCAACCAACUGUCAACGUUGUUUCACUUAGUUUCUGUGGCGCAUUAAAGUCCUGUAAUGACCUGACUAGAUCAUAAAGGAACAAUUGUCCAGACAGAUGAUUGAGUUUACAAAUUGACGGUUUACAUUAACCCAAUUUUACGCAGACUACUGUUUGGCCGUAGCCAACACCAAAUAAAUUAAAGAUAAUCCACAAGCCGACCGUGACCUUCUCUUGUGAAAGCCAGAUGUAAGAGAGUGAAGAAAGGCUAAACCUGGAUUUAAUUUCCAACGCUCCAUCCCCCUGCCCAACCCCCUCCACGCCACUCCACCAACCGCCAGCAUUCCCGGAAUCAGAACAUUCCAGGCAUUACUGUGAUUGGCAGAUAGCAGGUUGAUUGACAUGUCGGACCCCGCGAACACUGGGUACUGGUAAGUAAAACACAACCUCCUUACUAUAGCCUAACACAUAACACACAGCUGUCUGUGCAGGUCGCUACAGUCCAUUAACAAAUUGUAAAUCUUUCUGCCAACAAUCGUCAGAAAAAAUGGUUUUAGACAUAUCCUCGUACUUGAGCCCUUAACGUUUUAGCUUCAAAACAUUCCUCGAAGUGGAAAUUCUCGGCCUCGCCCAGCGAUCUCUUCCGUGCUAGCUUUUCUACAGACUGUCUCGAUGGAGGACAAUGAGAAGCGGACACCGUUGCAUGCUGCUGCCUAUCUAGGAGAUGCAGAAAUUCUAGAGCUACUCAUACUAUCAGGAGCCAGAGUAAAUGCCAAAGACAAGUGUCUCAAUACUCUGCACCGGGCCGUGGCUUCCUGCAGUGAGCAGGCAGUCCAGGUGCUAUUGAAACACUCUGCUGAUGUGAACGCCAGGGACAAGAACUGGCAAACGCCGCUCCACAUCGCUGCGGCCAAUAAGGCAGUCCGCUGUGCCGAGGCCCUGGUCCCUUAGCAAUGUGAACAUAAUAAUAACAUGUCGGACCGAGCGCUGCACCAUGCAGCGGACACCAAGAGUAGGUCGGAGGAGUGAGGUGGAAAAGUCGGCUCUCAUUGAAAAAAAAAAGAGAAAAAAAAACGAUGGUGAGGCUCCUUCUCUCCAGAGAAGCCAACAUUAAUGCUUUUGACAAGGACCGCCAAGCAAUCCACUGGGCUGCUUACAUGGGAGGUUCGUCAUAUGAAGGACAUUCAAGUGGAUGUGACCCCUAACCUGCAAUAGGGGCUCAGUGAGGUGACAGACAUCCUGUAAUGGAUCUCCAGCUAGUGUCUGAGGACCUGGAGAAGGCUGUGUCUACAGCUGUGGGGCAGGACAAGCAUGGUAACCUAACCUCACUGUAUGAAGGAUUUUAUUGUUAUGGAUAGUCAUCUCCAAUCUGUUCAAAUAUCACUGUUGUUGAUAACACACAUUACCAAAAUGAUUCACACUUGUCUUCCUAUUUCCACAUAAUCUGUCAUGGUUCCCCACCCCAACAGGGCAUAAAAGCAACCUCUCUUUAUUGCUACUGCUAAUACACCCAAAUCCAACAGCGUUUGAGUAUCUUUUUGCUUUUCUUCUAACCCUGAAUGGCAACAUUUUAUCCUAGUACACAAGCAUGUCACUUUAUCCAUCCACACCCACUCUACUGCCGCAUGGCCACUGCGGCUGAGACUUUCACCCUCUCGUUACAGGUAUAGCAGGUAACCAACCCCACCCGGGUCUUACCCCCUAGGACUUACCCUUUACAGGUACCUGCCUGCUCGGGCUUACCUUCCGGGACUCACCCUAUUCUUAUAGUACUACCAGGAACCAACCUACUCGGGAUUUACCCCCUAGGAGUUCCCCUCUGCAGGUUUGGGUUUACCUUCCGGGACUUACCAUAUACCACAAAGCUACGACCGGUCGUAAUACAAUGGGACUACUGAAUAAGCUCAGGCUUUCUAGGUUCGUACCCUAUAAUUGGUUCAUCCUACGACUCUCAUCUCCCCAAGAUGUCAGAAUUAGUGAUAACGGGUGUAGGAACUGUGCCGACCUUGUUUCUGUUUCACUGAUUCGGAAUCUCUAGUUCGACUGCAAAUCGCGGUGAACCCUGCUCGCAGUGCCAACUGUUAGGUUCUAAUUCUCAGAGUAAAAACUCGACGGACACUAUGAAUGCUUGAACCAAGUUUAUUCUUCCCAGAGGGUCAAGACCGCUGCAUUAGACAAAAAACAUAUUCACACAAGCACUGAUAUUUAAUACUCUCUCCUAUGCUGAGUUUCCUCCUACACCUCUAAACAGCCAAUGCAUCUCUGUUGCUAGACAGAACCUUAGUGAUAUCUGUUCUUCCUCACUUCAUCUGACCUGACCGCUACCUCAAAGUGCUCACUCCUCCCCAACUCAAGGCUGACAUGGUGAUUGGUAUCAGACUGUGUCUCUUCUCAUCCCAGAGGAUCCCACCCAUAGGAUGCCUGAUGGCUAACAAUAACAUAUCCUGACAUAAUGUAAAUGUUAUACAUUAAGCUCUCUCCCUCAGUGACAUGAAUUAGUAUAUUUCAUAUUCUCAGAACCCAACAGUAGGUUUUAAGGUGUGGCUGCAUGUUUGUCGUGGACGCAUCGUCACUCUUGAUGUUCUUUUUCCAAGUCUGAACAGGCCGUUCUUCUCUUUCCUCAACUAAUUGAAACCUCAGGGACAGACAUCCUGAACGACUCUGAUGUCAGACCUCCCAUCAGCCCUCUACACCUCGCUGUGCUGUCGGGGUGCUGGGGUGGCUCCUACACACCGCCCAGUCAGUGUGGACCCUCCCAGUCAACACAGACAACCAGGGCUACACGCCACUACACUGGGCCUGCUACAACGGUACUAACUGGACAGAGGGACAGCGAAGUGGGCCAGAGGCCACAAACAAAUACACACAUAAACAUAGCGUGUCUUAAAUCUCCACAGCCAGCUUCGGGAAGGCACGAACCAAGCCAUCCGCACAGGAACCUUAAGAGUCCAUCAGAGAGCAAGAGAGAAGAGGGAGGGAUAGAGGGAGGC